GGAGAGGUGCAAGAGUGGUUUAAUUGGCAGUCCUGGAAAGACUGUGUGUCGAAAGGCACCGAGGGUUCGAAUCCCUCCCUCUCCG
rnacentral:tRNA from 1 species